AAGUCGUGCUAAGGACAAUCUCUAAGCAAACAUGUGUACCUCUCCCUCGCUUCAUAUAAGGACUCUCCCAUAUGUUAUUCGAAAUUGGCUAUAUUGUUCUUCAAUUU